CUCUGUGACUCCUACGGGAGGCAGCAGUGGGGAAUAUUGCACAAUGGGCGCAAGCCUGAUGCAGCAACGCCGUGUGAGUGAAGAAGGUUUUCGGAUCGUAAAACUCUGUCCUAAGGGAAGAAACAAAUGACGGUACCUUAGGAGGAAGCCCCGGCUAACUACGUGCCAGCAGCCGCGGUAAUACGUAGGGGGCAAGCGUUAUCCGGAAUCACUGGGCGUAAAGGGUGCGUAGGCGGCUUAGCAAGCCAGGGGUGAAAGGCAUUGGCUCAACCAAUGUAAGCCUUUGGAACUGUUAAGCUUGAGUGCAGGAGAGGUAAGUGGAAUUCCUAGUGUAGAGGUGAAAUUCGUAGAUAUUAGGAGGAACACCAGUGGCGAAGGCGGCCCCCUGGACAAAGACUGACGCUCAGAUGCGAAAGCGUGGGGAGCAAACAGGAUUAGAUACCCUGGUAG
rnacentral:rRNA from 1 species